rnacentral:lncRNA from 1 species
AAACUAUAACUCUUUUAUAUAAAUAAGUGGAUUAAUAUAAUUUGAAAAAAAGAAAAAAAAAUACCUUCAAAUAUGUUGAUCGAAUGAGUUGACUCUACUAUCUAAAUGACAUCGUUAUACUAUAAUGGUGGACAAUUUUACAUUAAAUAUUCAUAUUCACAAAUAUUUUUGCAUGUAAUAUAGCACUAAAAAAAACACAAACAAAAGAUUGACCCUUUCAUAACUGAAAAAACUAACUUUCUGAAAAUCAGCUCCUCCC